CUGUGAAGAUGCAGUGUACCCGCGGCAAGACGGAAAGACCCCGUGAACCUUUACUAUAGCUUGACACUGAACAUUGAGCCUUGAUGUGUAGGAUAGGUGGGAGGCUUUGAAGUGUGGACGCCAGUCUGCAUGGAGCCGACCUUGAAAUACCACCCUUUAAUGUUUGAUGUUCUAACGUGGACCCGUUACCCGGGUUGCGGACAGUGUCUGGUGGGUAGUUUGACUGGGGCGGUCUCCUCCUAAAGAGUAACGGAGGAGCACGAAGGUUGGCUAAUCCUGGUCGGACAUCAGGAGGUUAGUGCAAUGGCAUAAGCCAGCUUGACUGCGAGCGUGACGGCGCGAGCAGGUGCGAAAGCAGGUCAUAGUGAUCCGGUGGUUCUGAAUGGAAGGGCCAUCGCUCAACGGAUAAAAGGUACUCCGGGGAUAACAGGCUGAUACCGCCCAAGAGUUCAUAUCGACGGCGGUGUUUGGCACCUCGAUGUCGGCUCAUCACAUCCUGGGGCUGAAGUAGGUCCCAAGGGUAUGGCUGUUCGCCAUUUAAAGUGGUACGCGAGCUGGGUUUAGAACGUCGUGAGACAGUUCGGUCCCUAUCUGCCGUGGGCGCUGGAGAACUGAGGGGGGCUGCUCCUAGUACGAGAGGACCGGAGUGGACGCAUCACUGGUGUUCGGGUUGUCAUGCCAAUGGCACUGCCCGGUAGCUAAAUGCGGAAGAGAUAAGUGCUGAAAGCAUCUAAGCACGAAACUUGCCCCGAGAUGAGUUCUCCCUGAGACUUAGAGUCUCCUGAAGGAACGUUGAAGACGACGACGUUGAUAGGCCGGGUGUGUAAGCGCAGCGAUGCGUUGAGCUAACCGGUACUAAUGAACCGUGAGGCUUAACCUUACA
rnacentral:rRNA from 1 species